CCUACGGGAGGCAGCAGUAGGGAAUCUUUCACAAUGGGCGAAAGUCUGAUGGAGCAACGCCGCGUGCAGGAUGAAGGCCUUCGGGUUGUAAACUGCUUUUAUAAGCGAGAAAUAUGAUGGUAACAUAUGAAUAAGAAUCGCCUAACUACGUGCCAGCAGCCGCGGUCAUACGUAGGAUCCGAGCAUUAUCCGGAGUGACUGGGUGUAAAGAGUUGCGUAGGUGGCAUAAUAAGUCGCUAGUGAAAUCUGGUGGCUCAACCAUUCAGACUAUUAGCUAAACUGUUAAGCUCGAGACCGUUAGGGGUAACUGGAAUUGCUAGUGUAGGAGUGGAAUCCGUAGAUAUUAGAAGGAACACCAAUAGCGUAGGCAGGUUACUGGGACGGUUCUGACACUAAGGCACGAAAGCGUAGGGAGCAAACGGGAUUAGAUACCCCUGUAGUC
rnacentral:rRNA from 1 species